CCGAGUUUACAACUCCCAAACCCCUGUGAACAUACCUACGUUGCUUCGGCGGACCACCCCAACCCCCUCGGGGCGAGGGGCCGCCAGAGGACCCAAAACCCAACUGUUUUUUCCGUAACGAAACCUAUUCUGAGUGGAAUUAUUAAAUAAAUCA
rnacentral:misc_RNA from 3 species